GCCUGAAUGGCUCAGUUGGUUAAGCGUCCGAUUUUAGCUCAGGUCAUGAUCUUGUGGUUCGUGGGUUAAAGCCCCUCAUCGGGCU
rnacentral:tRNA from 1 species